rnacentral:rRNA from 1 species
AUUGAACGCUGGCGGCAGGCUUAACACAUGCAAGUCGAGCGGAGAUGAGGUGCUUGCACCUUAUCUUAGCGGCGGACGGGUGAGUAAUGCUUAGGAAUCUGCCUAUUAGUGGGGGACAACAUUCCGAAAGGAAUGCUAAUACCGCAUACGCCCUACGGGGGAAAGCAGGGGAUCUUCGGACCUUGCGCUAAUAGAUGAGCCUAAGUCGGAUUAGCUAGUUGGUGGGGUAAAGGCCUACCAAGGCGACGAUCUGUAGCGGGUCUGAGAGGAUGAUCCGCCACACUGGGACUGAGACACGGCCCAGACUCCUACGGGAGGCAGCAGUGGGGAAUAUUGGACAAUGGGCGGAAGCUUGAUCCAGCCAUGCCGCGUGUGAAGAAGGCCUUUUGGUUGUAAAGCACUUUAAGCGAGGAGGAGGCUACCUGGAUUAAUACUCUAGGAUAGUGGACGUUACUCGCAGAAUAAGCACCGGCUAACUCUGUGCCAGCAGCCGCCGUAAAAC